rfam:Saprolegnia parasitica CBS 223.65 unplaced genomic scaffold supercont2.48, whole genome shotgun sequence.
AUACCUUCUCGGCCUUUUGGCUAAGAUCAAGUGUAGUAUCUGUUCUAAUCAGUGUGAAAACUGAUUUCCACACUUCGGUGUGGUUUUUUUUCACAUUCAUUUUUACAAAUUCCGAGAGUCCAGUUGGCUUGCCACUGACUUUUGGACUGGUUUCCGAGGGCCUAGCACUCCUCCCUUGCGAAGCCUACCUACA